AUUGAACGCUGGCGGCAUGCCUUACACAUGCAAGUCGAACGGCAGCACGGGCCUUGGUCUGGUUGAGAGCGGCGAACGGGUGAGUAAUGUCUAGGAACGUACCUGUGAGUGGGGGAUAACGUAGCGAAAGUUACGCUAAUACCGCAUAUGCCCUACGGAGGAAAGGGGGGGACCGCAAGGCCUUGCGCUCUUUGAGCGGCAGAGAGCGGAUUAGCUGGUUGGGUGGGUAAAAGCCCACCAAGGCGACGAUCUGUAGCGGGUCUGAGAGGAUGAUCCGCCACACUGGAACUGAGACACGGUCCAGACUCCUACGGGAGGCAACAGUGGGGAAUAUUGGACAAUGGGGGCAACCCUGAUCCAGCCAUGCCGCGUGUGUGAAGAAGGCCUUCGGAUUGUAAAGCUCUUUCGGCCGGGAAAAAAUCGCAUGAGCUAAUACCCUGUGUGGAUGAUGGUACCGGAAUAAGAAGCACCGGCUAACUACGUGCCAGCAGCCGCAGUAA
rnacentral:rRNA from 1 species